rnacentral:rRNA from 1 species
AGAGUUUGAUCCUGGCUCAGAGCGAACGCUGGCGGCAGGCCUAACACAUGCAGUCGAACGAACUCUUCGGAGUUAGUGGCGGACGGGUGAGUAACACGUGGGAACGUGCCUUUAGGUUCGGAAUAACUCAGGGAAACUUGUGCUAAUACCGAAUGUGCCCUUCGGGGGAAAGAUUUAUCGCCUUUAGAGCGGCCCGCGUCUGAUUAGCUAGUUGGUGAGGUAAAGGCUCACCAAGGCGACGAUCAGUAGCUGGUCUGAGAGGAUGAUCAGCCACAUUGGGACUGAGACACGGCCCAAACUCCUACGGGAGGCAGCAGUGGGGAAUCUUGCGCAAUGGGCGAAAGCCUGACGCAGCCAUGCCGCGUGAAUGAUGAAGGUCUUAGGAUUGUAAAAUUCUUUCACCGGGGACGAUAAUGACGGUACCCGGAGAAGAAGCCCCGGCUAACUUCGUGCCAGCAGC